GAGAGAGGCCCGCUGCAGCGAACACUGCUAACGUUCGCCCCUUUGGUUCGACUCCAAAGCUCACUCG
rnacentral:tRNA from 1 species